GUGAAAUGAUGAUGAAGUUUAUCCAUUCUCUGAGUGUGCUGCUCUACCCUUCCUGCUGCUCUCAGUUCCUGUUCUAGGAACUGGGUUAUGUGACCUCCAGAUGCCCUCCAGGCUUGCAGUGUUCUACUGUACCUGGCAGGGGUGUUUGGUGGCCAUACUGGUAGGAAGGGAUGGUGUCAGCAGAGAUGGAACCUUUACUAUUUAAGGUUCCAUCUUGCCAAGACGAAUGACUGGUAUCUGAUCAC
ensembl:snoRNA